rnacentral:lncRNA from 1 species
AGUCCGCCAUUGCAAACACGAAGCUCUUCCAGAAACGCCCUCACAGACACCCCGGAAGUCACGUACCCACUCUGUAGGUGCCCCGGGGCACAGGCAAGCGGACGAGCCAGUUAUCCCUCAGAGCUCCUGCUGCCUCGCCCGCUUUCUCUCGGAAACGUGAAGUGUGGCCUCAGCUGAAAGUGAGGUGGGCCUCAUUCAAUCAGUUGAAUUCUUCAAGAGAGAAAAACUGAAGUCCCUUAGAAGGAAAGAGUUCUGCCUUCAGACUGUCUUUGAACUUAAGACUGUAGCGUCGACUCCUGCCGGAAUUUCCAGCCUGCUGGCCAGCUCUGCAGAUUCACACUUGCCAGCCUCCACAAUCUUCCUGGAUUUGAAACUGAAGAAGCAAGCAAUCUGGAAAUGUCAGUGGAUGCACACAAAGAAACAACCGCAAAAGCCUGCUCGCUCUAGCCAAGGGACAAGAAUAGGGGCAGUCCAUCAAGACAGAAUCCUUUUAAAAAAUAACCACUCCACUCCAGCAAUACCACAGAAGAAUCUGGCUGUACCCCAGGUACAUCAGCAAAGAUAACCUUUACCUAGCAGUAAAGAGGUCCCCCUUACACUGGGAGCCCUAGUGAAGAGCAGGGACUUUCACCCCCACCUAGCAGUGAUGGGGCCCCACCCACCACAGUGCCAGCAGAGACCAUGUGGGAGCCAGAAUCCUCAUCCCUACCCAGCAGUAACAAGGAGCCCUCCUCACUGCGGGCAUCAAGGGUGAGUGAGUGCAAAACCUGGGUGUCACUCGGAAGGGAAGAAUGGUGUCUCCUUCCUUCCCAUCCCCUGCCAGAGUGAUAUCACUAGGAAAAAGAAAAUAAUUUAUCACCAGCAAAUCUACCCUACAGCUAAAACAGAGGGCUUAAGUUAGGCCCAGAAUCUCAUGACAUAAUACGAAAAUGUCCAGAAUUUAAUAGAAAAUCACUUAUUCUACUAAAAAUGGAGAGGAUCACACAAUGGGUGAAAAGACAAUCAGUGCAUGCCAUACAAAUUGACAGAGAUGUUGGAAUUAUUUGACAAAGGUUUUAAAACAGCGAUGAAAAUGCUUCAAUAAACAAUUACGAACACACUUAAACAAAGGAAAACAAAGAAAGCCUCAGCAAAGAAAUAGAAAGCCUCAGCAAGGCAAUAGAGAUAU